rnacentral:rRNA from 1 species
AGAGUUUGAUCAUGGCUCAGGACGAACGCUGGCGGCGUGCCUAAUACAUGCAAGUCGAGCGCGUGAAACUUUUAGAUCCCUUCGGGGUGACGAUUGUGGAUCGAGCGGCGGACGGGUGAGUAACACGUGGGCAACCUGCCUGUAAGCCUGGGAUAACUUCGGGAAACCGGAGCUAAUACCGGAUAAUCUUUGAUGUCACA